UUGAAGUACGUCUCGAGAGGAAUCCGUGAGCGCAAACGGCGACCAAAUCCGAGUCCGGACGAGGGAGAACGGAGCAAAACGAGCGGACUGCGCAAAACGCCCAGUACCCCGCGGUCACCACCCGCGGCCGCGGGGUGGGACCGCGGGUCAGCUGCCCCCGACUCCAGGAGACACCCGCGGUCACCACCCGCGGCCGCGGGGUGGGACCGCGGGUCCCCUGAGCAUUCCCCACGUUUGAAGGCCGCGGACGCGGGCCGUGACCGCGGGAAAAGGGCGGGGCUUCCCCCAAGUGGGCCCCAGACG
rnacentral:lncRNA from 1 species